UACGUAGGGUGCGAGCGUUGUCCGGAAUUAUUGGGCGUAAAGAGCUCGUAGGCGGUCUGUCGCGUCGAGUGUGAAAACCCGGGGCUCAACUCCGGGCUUGCAUUCGAUACGGGCAGGCUAGAGUUCGGUAGGGGAGUCUGGAAUUCCUGGUGUAGCGGUGAAAUGCGCAGAUAUCAGGAGGAACACCGGUGGCGAAGGCGGGACUCUGGGCCGAUACUGACGCUGAGGAGCGAAAGCGUGGGGAGCGAACAGG
rnacentral:rRNA from 1 species